AUAGACCCAGAGAACUGGAGUGACUUGCCUAAAAUCACCUGAAUACUGUGUGUCAGGAUAAAGGCUUGAAAAGAGAUACUUGAUUCCAAAUCCAGAACUUUUGCCACUGUUCCAGGCCAUGUAGACCUUUAAAGGAAGCUAUGAGAAACUACUUUCCCUUCUUGAUUAUGAAUGAUCGUGAAAUGGAGAAUGAAAGUUUCUCCAUCUUUUCUCCUCCAUGAACUGCAGGUGUGUAAAUUAUUGGAGAAACUGUUCAUGUUUGGCCCAUUUAAUGUGACUCCUACAAUGCCUCAGAGGUCACUGAAGUUUGUGUUUGUCCCAGGAGGACUCCUAUUCUGCCAGUCUACAUUUGACCUGAGGAACAAUUGUUUAUUUAUUGUGAGGAAAUCUUGAGAUCUUGGAAUUUUCUGACCACUAUCUUCCCAGAAUCCUCCUGGGAACUCCUUUUUAAUUUGAAUUCCAGAGCAGAUGUCCAUGGUCUUGAGGCACAUCUUUGCAAAUAGAAGACAUCUUAUGAGAAUGAAUGUAUAACAGAAUGAAGAAGAGACAUUCCAUUUGAGAAUGAAUUUUGGAAGACACUUUGGGAAAUAUUUGGAGCAAGCAGCUGGGUCAGGGGGUGGUGCUACAUUCCUAACUCCUGCAAUGUAGAAGAGAAAACUGUAGCUAAUAUAAAUAAAAUAAUGAGAGACAAACUAAAUGCAAAAAUAAGUGAUAAAACAUUGCUAAUUUUGCCUUUACAACUCUACAUGCUUCCAUGGAAUGUGAGUUCAAUAGCAGUUGAGAAAGGAGAAUCAGCAAGAGAGAGAAACUCUGAAGUUGUGGGAUACUGGAAACAAAGCAUAUUUGGAACCGAAGCUGAUUUUCCUUCCUCUGAAGUAGUCACCGUUCAUUUAUAACAUGGUUGUUUUGUCAUUAUUGAGAAAAACAAACAGCUAGUUUGAUGGAAAAGGCCGCCCCAGUCCCCUGGGAAGGGAGAGUUCAGAUGUGAUACAAGCUGACAGAGGGUGAAAAAAUAAUUUUCAAAGUGAUAAAUUUGGGCAGCUGUGAUGGACAGCAAAGAUGGCAUCUGCCCAGAGAAGUAAAAUUCAAGGUUAAACCCAGUUUUCUAAAGUCUGCUUCCAGGGGCAGAAGUGUGGAACAGAGGUGUGUAUAUAUGUGUGUGUGUGUGUUUUAAUUAGGUUACAAAAGCAGAGCUGUGGAUUUUGACCUAAGGCACCAAAUACAAAAGGACUUUUCUAUCAAAAUUUUGACAUUUUUUUGGAAUUAAGAACUGUCUAAGAUGUUUCAUUUGGCAUCUACACAGGAGGAAAGCUUA